AUGCCGCUCUCCAGUCUGCUCUGGGUGUUCCUGGCCUUCACCUUCUCUGGAUCUUCUGUGGCCCAGAAAGUUACUCAAGACCAGCCAGAUGUAUCCAGACAAGUGGGGCAGUCAGUCACCCUGAACUGUCGGUAUGAAACAACUUGGACCACUUACUACCUUUUUUGGUACAAACAACUUCCCAGUGGACAGAUGACUUACCUUCUUCAUCAGUAUUCAGAAAGCAGUAAUGCAAGGAACGGCCGCUACUCUGUAAACUUUAAGAAAGCAGACAAAUCCAUCAGCCUCACCAUUUCAGCCUUACAACUGGAAGACUCUGCAAAGUACUUCUGUGCUCUCCGUGAGCUCACAGUGCUUGAAGUAAUAGGAAAAGCUGUACAAAAACCCCGGAGCUUAGAUCAUCCACCUCCACCCUUCUCCACGCCGGAGAGUUUGCUCUCCCUUCCGUCUUUUCUCUCUGUAUCAGCAUCCUUGGUGCGGAGCACCUAUGCACACGGGCACAGAGGACAUAAGGAUUCAGGACCAUUGUUCAAGGAGGACGAGGAGAAUACCAUCCGUGUCAUCAGUUACUAUAUCAAGAACAGAUGCACUAGAAAUGUCUGCCGAGAUGGAGACAGAUGCAGGAUUCCAAGGACCUUUUCAGGACGCUGA